rnacentral:rRNA from 1 species
UACGAAGGGGGCUAGCGUUGCUCGGAAUCACUGGGCGUAAAGCGCACGUAGGCGGAUUGUUAAGUCAGGGGUGAAAUCCUGGAGCUCAACUCCAGAACUGCCUUUGAUACUGGCGAUCUUGAGUCCGGGAGAGGUGAGUGGAACUGCGAGUGUAGAGGUGAAAUUCGUAGAUAUUCGCAAGAACACCAGUGGCGAAGGCGGACUCACUGGCCCGGUACUGGACGCUGAGGUGCGAAAGCGUGGGAG